rnacentral:rRNA from 1 species
GGAUGGACCCGCGUCUGAUUAGCUAGUUGGUAAGGUAAAGGCCUACCAAGGCGACGAUGCGUAGCCGACCUGAGAGGGUGAACGGCCACACUGGGACUGAGACACGGCCCAGACUCCUACGGGAGGCAGCAGUAGGGAAUCUUCGGCAAUGGGCGAAAGCCUGACCGAGCAACGCCGCGUGAAUGAUGAAGGCCUUCGGGUUGUAAAAUUCUGUUAUAAGGGAAGAAUGGCUCUAGUAGGAAAUGGCUAGAGUGUGACGGUACCUCAUGAGAAAGCCACGGCUAACUACGUGCCAGCAGCCGCGGUAAUACGUAGGUGGCGAGCGUUAUCCGGAAUUAUUGGGCGUAAAGAGCGCGCAGGUGGUUGAUUAAGUCUGAUGUGAAAGCCCACGGCUUAACCGUGGAGGGUCAUUGGAAACUGGUCAACUUGAGUGCAGAAGAGGGAAGUGGAAUUCCAUGUGUAGCGGUGAAAUGCGUAGAGAUAUGGAGGAACACCAGUGGCGAAGG